GAUGAACGCUAGCGGCAGGCCUAAUACAUGCAAGUCGAACGGUGUCUUCGGACAUAGUGGCGCACGGGUGCGUAACACGUAUGCAACCUACCUUACAUUGGGGGAUAGCCUUUCGAAAGGGAGAUUAAUACCGCAUGAGACAGGAGCUGGGCAUCCAGCAGCUGUUAAAGACUUAGCGAUGUAAGCUGGGCAGGCGGCAAAGUAGAUAGUUGGUGAGGUAACGGCUCACCAAGGCAAUGAUUGGUAGGGGAACCGAGAGGUCAAUGCCACAGCCUGGCCCUGAACAACGGGCCAGAGUCCUGCGGGAGGCAGCAGUAGGGGAUAUUGGGCAAUGGAAGCAAGUAUGACCCAGCCAUGCCGCGUGCAGGAUGAAGGCGUUAUGCGUUGUAAACUGCUUUUAUACCGGAAGAAACGACUCUUGCGAGAGGCAUUGACGGUACUGUAUGAAUAAGCACCGGCUAACUCCGUGCCAGCAGCCGCAGUAAGAC
rnacentral:rRNA from 1 species